rnacentral:rRNA from 1 species
CACAGGUGGUGCAUGGUUGUCGUCAGCUCGUGUCGUGAGAUGUUGGGUUAAGUCCCGCAACGAGCGCAACCCUUGUCCCGUGUUGCCAGCACGUUGUGGUGGGGACUCGCGGGAGACUGCCGGGGUCAACUCGGAGGAAGGUGGGGAUGACGUCAAAUCAUCAUGCCCCUUAUGUCUUGGGCUUCACGCAUGCUACAAUGGCCGGUACAGAGGGCUGCGAUACCGUGAGGUGGAGCGAAUCCCUUAAAGCCGGUCUCAGUUCGGAUCGGUGUCUGCAACUCGACACCGUGAAGUUGGAGUCGCUAGUAAUCGCAGAUCAGCAACGCUGCGGUGAAUACGUUCUCGGGCCUUGUACACACCGCCCGUCACGUCAUGAAAGUCGGCAACACCCGAAGCCCGUGGCCCUACGGGGAGCGGUCGAAGGUGGGGCUGGUGAUUGGGACGAAGUCGUAACAAGGUAGCCGUACCGGAAGGUGCGGCUGGAUCACCUCCUUU